rnacentral:rRNA from 1 species
CCGACCUUGAAAUACCACCCUUUAAUGUUUGAUGUUCUAACGUGGACCCGUGAUCCGGGUUGCGGACAGUGUCUGGUGGGUAGUUUGACUGGGGCGGUCUCCUCCUAAAGAGUAACGGAGGAGCACGAAGGUUGGCUAAUCCUGGUCGGACAUCAGGAGGUUAGUGCAAUGGCAUAAGCCAGCUUGACUGCGAGCGUGACGGCGCGAGCAGGUGCGAAAGCAGGUCAUAGUGAUCCGGUGGUUCUGAAUGGAAGGGCCAUCGCUCAACGGAUAAAAGGUACUCCGGGGAUAACAGGCUGAUACCGCCCAAGAGUUCAUAUCGACGGCGGUGUUUGGCACCUCGAUGUCGGCUCAUCACAUCCUGGGGCUGAAGUAGGUCCCAAGGGUAUGGCUGUUCGCCAUUUAAAGUGGUACGCGAGCUGGGUUUAGAACGUCGUGAGACAGUUCGGUCCCUAUCUGCCGUGGGCGCUGGAGAACUGAGGGGGGCUGCUCCUAGUACGAGAGGACCGGAGUGGACGCAUCACUGGUGUUCGGGUUGUCAUGCCAAUGGCACUGCCCGGUAGCUAAAUGCGGAAGAGA